rnacentral:rRNA from 1 species
UACGUAGGUGGCAAGCGUUGUCCGGAUUUACUGGGCGUAAAGAGCGCGCAGGCGGUCGUUCAAGUCGCGUGUGAAAGCCCCCGGCUCAACUGGGGAGGGUCACGCGAUACUGAUCGACUCGAAGGCAGGAGAGGGUAGUGGAAUUCCCGGUGUAGUGGUGAAAUGCGUAGAUAUCGGGAGGAACACCAGUGGCGAAGGCGACUACCUGGCCUGUUCUUGACGCUGAGGCGCGAAAGCUAGGGGAGCAAACGGGGAUUAAGAAACCCGUGAGUAACGUCCGAGCACCAAACGAUC